GUUAGGGUAGUAUGGUUGAGCUGUGGUUGGACUCGAUGAUCUUUGAGGUCUUUUCCAACCUGAGCGAUUCUAUGAUUCUAUGAUUCUAUUACUGCAGUCAACACAGAUCCAGACCGUGUUUAAGGUCCUUAAACAUAAGUGUCUGAAGCCAUCUGAGAUGCCCUAGGACAUCCCACAGCCCCCCAUGUUUUCUGUGUCAUACCUUCAAAUCUCACAUGAAUGUUUCAGAUGCCCUCAAGAGGCUCCUGCAGGCACUCAUACAUAGAUAUGGAAAUGGAGGGCUUUGUCUUGAACAGAGCUCCCUCAGGCUGUGUUAUACUGCCCAGGGCAUAGACACAGACCAUGGUACUCAGCUGUCAGGAAACUGUCUUAACUCACAGAAGGAACUGACAGAAAAUCUUGGGCAGAGCCAGUGCUAGAAUGCUGUAGAAAUAUGAAAGUAAGUCGGGACUGUGAUUUGCUGGUCCUGACCCUGCAGGUAUUCAUUUUUGUGGCCACCUCACCUUCUUUUUGUUUCACAGAUCUUUGAAAUCAAUAUUUUCUGUACAUGUAGCAUAUCACAAACCCCAGUUCUCUAUCGUUCUCUCUAAUUUUAACUGAAUUCAGACCAGAGAAGAUAACAGUGCAAUUGGAGUGGCAUUUUUCUCUUUCUGCACAGUUUGACAAAUUCCCUUGUGUAUGCUACUGGGGAAACAUCUUUCACAGCUUCAUUUGAAGUUUUCUUUCAAUUCUGUUGUAAUCAAUUGCUUUACCAGUCAGGGAGAAAAGAAAAAAGAAAAGAGAAAAGAGAAAAGAGAAAAGAGAAAAGAGAAAAGAGAAAAAAGGAAAAGGAAAAGGAGAAGAAAGAAAGAGAGAGAGAAAAGUACAGUGAAACAACACACAUAGGCUACCAAUCUGAAUUACACUUAUGCUUAAGUUUGCAUGAAUAAACCUAUUUUGUUAACCUGUUACAUGACUGCAGGGUCCUUUCUCAUCAAUCUUCACUAUUCUUUGCAUAUCAGUUAUUUACUCAUGUCCUAAAUAUGUUGUUGUCAAAAGUAUCCUGAUAUACUUCCAUUAUAACUCACACCACUUCAGUGCUGAAAGAUAAGAACGUGAUGUGCCGUAUGUUUGUCUGCAGCUGUUGAGGUUACAGAUGCCUUGUCUAGAAAUGGAAGAAAAAUGUCAUGUCUCCAGGUGUACCUUUCCAUCUGUGUGACAUUUUUCCCUCAAAAAUAUUUUGAAGUCCUUUUUAUCUCUAUGAUGAGAUGCUCACCAACUCUUCUGGGGAAUAUUCCUCAAAACUUUCCUAAUCCUAAUAUCAUCUUCCGCAAGCCAUGACUUUCUAUUGUUGUAAUUUCUGAACUGCUUGCCAUAAUGUGUCUCUUUUAACCCUAAUUCGUCUGUCCCAUGCUGCAGCAUCAAUAUCCAUUUUGUUUUCUUUUUGUAGGUCCUCUAUCUUUCAAAUUCAUUUUAAUUAUUACCCACAUCCUAGCGUCACAUCAUCAACACCUAAAUCCUUGCACCACACACACACAAACUGGCAUUCUCUGGAUUAUGGCAACUUGUUCUGUAUGACUGGCACAAAGCCCUUAUCUUCAUAUUCCUUCAGCCCAUGGAAUGACCUCUGGGCACAUCUUAAGGCCCGUUCUAGUUGGGUGUGAACUAGCAAUCUGCUGCAACCAUGUCAACUGUUUGCUGCAAAUCCUACUAGCUGGCCAAUUUUCCUUUCCUCUAUUUUAUUUCCUGUACUCAGUGCAUGGCAGAGUUCCUUCUUUUUCCCAUGAGGCCACCAUCUAUUUAUCAUUGUCUUCCAGUUGAUCCAUUAGUCAUUUGAAAAUUCAAUUAGUUGAAAUUAUUUUUAUAUUAAUGUUGUAAUUUUGUAAUUAUAAUUGCAGGUGACAUGCCAUGAACAAUGUAUUCUUUGUGCUACUGAAAAUGUCAUAGUCAAUACCUCAUAAGCUUUGACAAUCAUUAGCUAGGACUACAAGUAGAUUUGGUGUUGCACUGUCUCUUCAGCUCAGAUUGGCAUAAGUAAAGUUGUCAUUCCACAGUCUGUAAGGGGACCAAUCUAAUGCCUAUUGGAGGCAGUGGAAGUCUCUCUGUUCUCUUACGUGAGGAAUGGCCCCAUUUCCUUAAGAAGUAUAAUUGUGACUGCAUUUAACACUACAGAGUGACAGCAGUGAAUGGGCUUGCAAAUGGAGGAGCAGUCUUAAUUAGCAUAGAAGAGCACAGAAAAGAUGUCCCACCUACAGGACAGGUAGGGAACUACCUUCCAGAUGCAAAGCUGCCAAAAAGGGAGGUAUUCAACAUUGGGGUUGUUUACUUUCCCAGUCUCUGGAGUGCAAGCACGAAGCUAUAUUUUUCUGAAGAAUCAGCCCUCUAAAAAGCUGUUCAAGUGCCCUUUUUGAAGGGAAAUCAGCAUGCAUUGGAAAUGUUUCAUGCAGCUUCACAGUAGACAGCCGGCAGAUAACUGUCUAGGUUUAUGUCUCUCUACAGUCAUUACACAUGGACAAAAACUGAAAUAGAUUUCUCAAAUUUUCCUCACAUUAUGCAAAUUUUGUAGGACAGUGAGUUGUUUUUAUUCAAAUGUUUUGGAAAAAAUAUAUAUUUUUUUAAUUUUCAAAUUUGAGAUCUACUACAAUUCCCCUUCACAAUGAAAGGAAGCAGCUUUUGAAUGCUCUGCGAAAGGUGGGGAUAACUGCAUAACAUAGGGGAGAAUUUUCAGUAUUUCCUGUAGAAGCACAGUCUGUUAUGUACUGCUAUGAAUUUUUUGUGUUGCUGAAGAUUUCUCCUAGAACAAAAGUUCGUGUUGCAUGUAUCCAGGUCUCCCUUUCCCAUCUGAUACCGUUCAUCAGAUACAGCUUUUCUUAUGCUAGAUUUUAAAUGAGAAUUCAGUUUCCUAGGAACUACAGAAGACUGUUCAUUUUGGUUUUCAUUCCUGUAAAAGACUGUCUUUUUUGUGUGUAUUCUUGUUAUCUAUGUUUUAAAGGCUUUCUUUAAUGGAAAAGAGGUAACAUUUUUCACAGAUUUUUCAGCUCUUCAUCAGAAAUAGGUAGGUUGAGGGUAACACAGCUUGAAUUUUUGAAAAGGAAAUUCAGUCUUGAUAGAACUCAGAGAAGACCACGAUUUGCAUUUGCAUUCUUCCCAUACUUUGAGUUAUUUUGAAGUUCACAGGGCUAGACGAGGAGGGAAGGGAGUGAAGAACAAUAUAAUCCCUCUUGCUCACUGGUUCGUGCUUACUGAUCCUUCUGCAGUUGCAUGCAGAGACAGACUGAAGAUCUGUGCUUUCCCUCUUAAACCACAUGUAAGAAAUUGCAUCAAAGGAAACUGAUACCUUUUGUCAUUUUGGCUGCCUGCUGUGCUUCUGCUUCCAGGGCUGCACCUCUUGGGCAAGCAUAACUCUCCAAGCUGGCUUUGCCUUAAUCACCUUGGUCUGGGAGCUGGUUAUAUCAUCCUCAAAAAAGUUGGAGCCAUUUCCUGUCAUAAGAAGCCUGAGGAGCUCUUUGGUGUCUCCAAGAGUGGGUUGACAUGCAGUGCCAUCCUUUCUGUCCUGCCAGCUGUCCCUCACCUUCCUUUCACUAGCUCUGCAACAUUCCACAAUGGUUUAUUCAUCUUGACUUAAGGAUACAAAUAUGAGAUCAACUACCUCUGAUAUAAAGCCAAAGAAAAAAAUGUUUUUUUAAGACUGAUUAAAUGUACCAAAUAUUUGAGAUACUCAGAGAUUCGUGUGCAAUGGAGUGGAUUUGGUCACAGAGCACGUGUGUCAUCACUGCCGAUACUUAUGGUGCUUCGAUGCUAUUGUGUAUCCAGUUCUCAUCAGAGUUCUGUCAGGUUUCCCUUUCCUGACACUGGAAUAGUGAUUAUAUUCCUUAAAUUCUUCAGAAGGGCUAGUGCACCAACAUUAGUUUGGAACACGCACAGAGGAAAAGCAGCUGUUCCAUUUCACUGGAGAUCAUCGUCAAAAGAUUUCCAUCUCAUAACCAAGCCACUGAGUGCUCACUCAGGUCCAUCAUUUAAUUGAAAAUUAUAAUUAGCCUCUCUUAUUGUGAUCUGACUUAAAUUCCAUGUAUUUUGUCAGUUUGUAUUUUGAUGUUUAGGAGAGAAAAUUCAUUGUAUGUUAUCUGUUUGUCUUUUCAACUCUUCUCUAGUAUUUCUCAGUGAAUCAACUGUAUAAAUACGUACAAUACUUUUGUCAACAUGUAAUAUUGAGGUCUGACUUUGGCUUCAACAAAAAUUUCUGCGUCAUUCAGUUUGUAUUGCUAGAAUCUAUCUUAGUUUACCAGCUCAAUUCCCAAAUGGCUUUUGUGCAGCUGAGCUUUAUAGCCUCAGUGAUGUCUUUAAUAAGUAAGCCACUGAACAAACAAAAAUGACCCAAAUUAUUAAAACAUUCCUCUAUUUCAAAAUGUCAACAAUCUGGAGUAGGAGCAGCUGCCAAUAAAUCUUUCCCAAAGAGGAGUCAGAAAAAAAAAAAGUACGUUAUAACUGCAGUCCAACCUUUUGCUGCUAAAAUAUUCAUACUGGAAACAGGCAGAGAUCUGAAUGCCAUAUGAAUGAAGUGUGGUAAGUUUCUGACAUGUUCACUUUGCUGACAUUUACUGUUCCAUUUUGGCUUCUCUGGCAAAAUACAGACUAUCGCUUUGAUACUCUAGACAGAACUUGGUGAAAUUUUCAGUGUAAUCUGGAAAAUGGAGUGGCCACCUAAUCUUUCAUCAGUACAUACAUCCAAGUGUGUAGAAGGUAAGGUAAGGAUAAAUUUGUUGUGAUAUUGGCAUAAUACAAAGAAUUGCAUUAAGUUUGCUGAACUCCAGUGACUGCUCACUGCCAAGUUCCAGCCCAAUGAGACCACAGCCAUGAUGGGUGUUUUCAUUCCCAGAAGGUGGGAUUGGAGCAGAUUUCAAUGCUCCUUGCUUCUCACACAUCAGCCUUAUUUCAAAAUAAGUAAUGUAGCUGCUGGCACACCUGCCAGGUGGGCAGGUGCUUAACUGGGUGGAGAAUCUGAUUUUCCUUCAUUUCAAGAAUUUCUUAAGUGCGAAGGAGCAUUGUCUUCCAGCUGCCAGGUAAGAUGCACAUUAAUGCAAAAGGGUGAUGCCCUGGAGAAAGAGAACAUGCCAAAGGAGCGAUGGAUGCCAAGGGAGAGUACAGGAUCUCCCACCAGAGAGUGAGAUCAGGCUCACAUAUUGAAGGGUCACACAAUUAAACUUGAACAGAUCAUUAAUUUGAUAGUGAUGAGCCCACAAAAAAUACCUCACCUUCCCCCAUUAAGAAAAAAUCGCAAGGAAACUGUAAGGAAUGUAAGGAGAGAUGGCAAAACUUCUGAUAAUACAAUUGGCACAAUAAAGAACAUUUAAUAAUACAUGUUGAAAUAGUACUUAAUACUAAUAAUACAUCAAACAGAAUGUACUAUAUCAACACAUCACAUUUUGGGACCUCUAUGAAAUGCUUACCAAAGACAACCAAAGGCAGGCAUUGCCAGUCCAAGGCACGCAAGCCCUCUAGUCCAUAGACCGCUUCCAAGAGAUAGGGGAGCUAGUAUGGCCUCCUUCAGGUCAUAAUAGAGAGGCUGUCAGUGCCAGAGAGAUGGGGAAAAUUCCUUUUGCCAAACCUUGCCCUGCUCAAUCUGAAGUCAAUGGCAGUUCUUUCCAGCAGCUGUCAUGAAAUUUGGAUUGAUAGCUGUGGGAAUAGCAGUUAGACACUGCUUCCAAAAAGGUGAUGGUCUGGGAAAAAAAAUAAAUUAUCCUUGUCCCAGAUUGUGGAUGACAGUUUUAAACCAGUUGUAGUCCAAGACUUCUAUAAAAAUCUACAUACAAAACAGGAGAUUUAAUCUGGUGGAUUUUGACUAGUCUGUUGUGUCCUACUACUUAGAGUCACAGAAUCACAGAACCAUUAAGGUUGGAAAAGACCUCUGAGAUCUAACACAACUCCAGCCCAUGCCCACCAUGCCCACCAACCACGUCCCUCAGUGCCACAUCUCCAUGGCUCUUGAACACCUCCAGGGACGGUGACUCCACCACCUCCCUGGGCAGCUGUGCCAGUGCCUCAUCACUCUUUAGGAGAAGAAAUUUUUUCUAAUGUUCAAGCUGAGAUUGUUUGCAUAUGUUGCAGAAAAAAAGAAAAAAAGAAAAAAAAAAGUAGGAACAUUUGAGUUCCUUGUCACACUUCUGCUAAUAGUGAAGGAACAGAAUUAGACCUAAUACUUAAUUCUUUUAGAGUGCAGAUCAAAGCGACUUUCUCUUUGCGUCAUAUACAAAAGGUGUGUAUUGAACUUGUGACUUAAACUAGUGAUUUAAUAUUGCAUUUCAAUGGCCUUCCAGUACAGAAUUUUACUCUCUGCUUUGUAAAUGUAAAAAAUAUUACAUGCAGAAAUAGUCAUACAGAAGUCGUCAGGUUUGCAUUUCAAUAGAUUUUCUAUAACUCUAAUGAAAAAUCAAUGUCACUGAUCUAAUGGUUAAUUAAGUGAUAUUUCUCGUGCUUCCUUUGAUGUUAUGAAUAAUUUUUCAGUUGAAAUCCUCCAUAUAGAGAGUAUAUGUUUGGACUGUUGAAUGGUAGCACCUCCUCCCAUCAGUGCCACCCAUUCCUUCACAAAGGCACCACUUGCAGCACUGGAGAUGUCCCUUGUCUCAGGCUGGUGCAAAGACAGGCAGAGUCAGGCCCCUUCUCUUAAGUCUUACCAAGAUUAGCAAUUGAUCUAACAAAAUGAUUAAUAUUCAAAUGAGAGUCAGUGCUGGUUGCAGAAACAUCCUUCUGCAAACAGCCUGCAGCCUGCCAGAACCCACAGGCAAGAUUUUAUACUUUCUUUUGAAAAACAGAGCAUGAAGUCCAACUCCUUCUGGUUUGCAGUCCCCAGUGUGCACGGAGUCAGGAGAAGCAGAAGAGUGGAGUGAGCAGGGAAGGGAAGAUGAGGAAUCUGCCAUGUCAUGAGAGAGAUCAUCUCAUUCAGAGUCCUCUUUCACUUUUAAACACUUAAAAUGCAACAGAUCAACAGGUUCUUCUAUCAGCCAAUUUUAGCACCAGGUUGUGCUUUGACUUGCAUACAGAAGAGCUGUGUAGAUGGCAGCUGGGCUAACACCCCAUGCAGUGCAGGAUGUCUCUGGACUGGAAGUUUGCACGUCAGGAAUGAGCUGCACAGGUAACUGGUUCUGACAAGCCCAUCUCCUCCAGAGACUGGAAACUUCCUUCCUCACCUGUGCAAAACUUAGCAGAUUUACCCUGCUAGGCUUUGCUAUCAUGCUGCUGGCACUGAGGAUGCUUCACUCUGUCACAUUUUGUAGUGGGCAGAAGGGGGAUGUGCAAGGGAUCAGCUACAACCCUCAGCGAGGGAGCAUCUGGGCAGUUCUCAGCUGCCUGCUGGGUUAACCCACAGCAGAAGGUAGACAUGUCCCAUCCCAUGGAGACAUGCCUGCCAGAACUGCCUGCCUCUACAGCCUCUAGACAAAACCACAACUAACACAGUUAAGUGAAGAUUCAAAGCCGCAUAGAUCCUGUCCAUGCAAGUACAUCUAACAAAACAGCAUCAGAAGCUUAGCCUGACUUCUACGUGAUUGAUUAUUUUUUCUCAUGACUAAUGUUUUGAGUAUAUUUGAUUAUAAAAAUAAAAUAAUGAAGAGAAA